GGAGGAAGAGAGCAGCGUCGUGGGCACUGUGGUCAGAGCGUACUCUCCCAUCUUCAAAACCAAGACCAGUGCUGCCCUGCUGGAUAUGCUUGUGGAGGAGGGUCCUUCCAGCCCAAAGCAAGUGAGCAGCCUGUGGCCUGGCUUUUCUCCUCCCAGCAGUUGCGUGGCCUCCCAAGCCACGCCUGCUGCUCCCUGGAAGCCUUUGAGGCCAUGGCAGUGUGGUGGCAAGGGAAGCACUUCUCUGGGGCAGCUGGGCACAUUCCUUCCUCUGGCAGCUUUCCAAGUCUCCCCUGCCUUCUCCAGGUGCCCGCCAUGGUGAGGUACAUCCACCAGUGGCUGGUGGCCAAUGAGUUUCCUGAGUACAAUCUGUACAGGCCCCUUCUGGAUCUGACAGGGGCACAGCCCUCUGACGUGGUGAUGGCUCUCCUGCGUGUGGCCCCAUUGUGUGACAGAGCUGCUUUGGCCAUGUGGAAGAGCAUCAUGUGCUCGCCCAGGACUGCAGAGCCGGCCAUGCUCGUACUCCUCGAGGUGCUGGGGAGCUGGCCAGAGCACAGCACGUGCACCUCCAAUGGGGACCACACGGCUGUCCUUGCCCUGGCUGCAACCGUGGUGAUGUGGAAGAUCCUCCAGCUGCCCUGUGUGCCACAUGUAGUCACUGUGUGUUUCCCCUGCCUCUUGGUGCAUCUGCUAUUCCAAGUGCUCUUCAGCACUCUGGAUAUGCCAGAGGAGGUCAAUACCUUCUGGAAGGGAUGUCAGCAGCAACACGGCCUUGCCACCAACCCCAGCAGCUUUGCAGAGCAGACCCUGAAGGCCCUGGUGGUGGCCAUGGAAGACAAGGGUGGCUGGGACACACUGCUCUGUGCUGACACCCACCACUGUGCUGUGGGCGUGCUGGCCAGAGAAAUGCACCGUGCAUCCGAAGCCGUGUGUUCCGCGAUUGCAUUCCAGCUGCUCGGGCAGCUCAGCAAAGACACGCCAUGCCGGGAUUUGGCCGCCCUGGCGUUCCUUGUGGAGGUCCUGGAGCGCCUGAACCUGAGUGAAUGCCGUGACAGCGUCCUGGAGUUCUUGUCAAAGAACCUGCAGAGCGAGUGCAGGGGGAGGCGUCGCUUGGCACUCAGAGGCCUCGUUCACACACUUGUGUUCCACAAGUAG
rnacentral:lncRNA from 1 species